CCUACGGGUGGCAGCAGUGAGGAAUAUUGGUCAAUGGACGAGAGUCUGAACCAGCCAAGUAGCGUGAAGGAUGACUGCCCUAUGGGUUGUAAACUUCUUUUAUAUGGGAAUAAAACGUUCCACGUGUGGGAUUUUGUAUGUACCAUAUGAAUAAGGAUCGGCUAACUCCGUGCCAGCAGCCGCGGUAAUACGGAGGAUCCGAGCGUUAUCCGGAUUUAUUGGGUUUAAAGGGAGCGUAGGUGGAUUGUUAAGUCAGUUGUGAAAGUUUGCGGCUCAACCGUAAAAUUGUAGUUGAAACUGGCAGUCUUGAGUACAGUAGAGGUGGGCGGAAGUCGUGGUGUAGCGGUGAAAUGCUUAGAUAUCACGAAGAACUCCGAUUGCGAAGGCAGUUCACUGGACUGCAACUGACACUGAGGCUCGAAAGUGUGGGUAUCAAACAGGAUUAGAUACCCCAGUAGUC
rnacentral:rRNA from 1 species